rnacentral:lncRNA from 1 species
CAUAUUACAGAAGAAAGCUCUCGACUCCGAGAUAGAACCUAGAAAUUAUAUUCUCUUCAAGAUCCAUGAAAGAGAACCUGACUGCUUGCUUUGGUCUGAGAGUUCAGACAUCUCUUCUCUUAAGAAAGUCUUCAUUUCCGUUUGCUGAGUCCUCCUGUUUUGUCAUCGCUGGGCCCUGUAAGAAGUUUGCCAGGAGGUCCCCAGAAGUAGAAGGACCAUGCUCUCUAUUCUAAGCUGGCCUUGAACUCAUGACGAAUCAGAGGAUGGCCUCAAUCUGGGAUGGACAUUUCCAGCAGAGAAAUGCUAUCUAGACCAAAGACAUUGUUUUACUAUACAGCCAACGGUUCUUUAAAUGCCCGGCAACCCUCUCUUCUCCGGUGCUUGAUGGUGUGUGUGUGAAGAAGUGUUCCUAAACACCGGCACAAAAGAGUGGGCAUACAUCAAGCAUACAAGAGGUGGAGGAGAGAGGGGGCCUUGCCGAUGCCUCAGAUGAGGUGGUGGAUGAGAAAAGCAGGGGUGGAUCAGAGUAGACACAGCACUCAAAGUCUGGUUCCAUUUCCCAGAAGUAAUCGUUCAGCUUCUACGUGGUUUGUCAUUGCCAAAGUCAAGACUCAAACCCAGGCCCUGACCACCAGAGACUGUCAGUUUUCAAGCUUAAAAA